UCUUGCCCAAAAGGCCUCUUGCUAGGAAGAGAAGUGCCCACACAUAUAAGGCAUUUCAUCUUUCCCUCCUCAAGCGAUGUGGGAUUGCUCAACUUUCUUGUUUCCCCAAGACACGGGUCUUACAAUCCACUCCUCUUGGGGCCUAGCGUCCUUGCUGGCACACUUUUGGUCGGGGUCUAGCUCUGAUACCAUUUGUCACGACCCAACUCCUCUAGCAAGAUAUUGUCCGUUUUGGGCCUCCUCCCUCAAGGUUUUGUUCUUGGGCUCAAGCUAAUGUUAUCUUGCCUAAAAGGCUUCUUGCUAGGAAGAGAAGUGCCCUCACAUAUAAGACACUUCAC
rnacentral:lncRNA from 1 species